rnacentral:rRNA from 1 species
UACGGAGGAUGCAAGCGUUAUCCGGAAUGAUUGGGCGUAAAGCGUCCGCAGGUGGCUAUGUAAGUCUGCUGUUAAAGAGUGAGGCUCAACCUCAUAAGAGCAGUGGAAACUACAUGGCUAGAGUGCGUUCGGGGCAGAGGGAAUUCCUGGUGUAGCGGUGAAAUGCGUAGAGAUCAGGAAGAACGCCGGUGGCGAAAGCGCUCUGCUAGGCCGCAACUGACACUCAUGGACGAAAGCUAGGGGAGCGAAUGGG